rnacentral:ncRNA from 2 species
ACCAGUGACACGGGGUGCUUCGGACCGCACAGGGGUUCCGAGCUGAGAUCACACCCGUCGAACCUGAUCCGGGUAACGCCGGCGAAGGGAUGUCCACUCACCCGCCC